rnacentral:rRNA from 1 species
UACGUAGGGUGCAAGCGUUGUCCGGAAUUAUUGGGCGUAAAGAGCUUGUAGGCGGUUUGUCGCGUCUGCUGUGAAAACUCGGGGCUUAACCCCGGGCCUGCAGUGGGUACGGGCAGACUAGAGUGUGGUAGGGGAGACUGGAAUUCCUGGUGUAGCGGUGAAAUGCGCAGAUAUCAGGAGGAACACCGGUGGCGAAGGCGGGUCUCUGGGCCAUAACUGACGCUGAGGAGCGAAAGCGUGGGGAGCGAACAGG